GACGAACGCUGGCGGCGUGCUUAACACAUGCAAGUCGAGCGGUAAGGCCCUUUCGGGGGUACACGAGCGGCGAACGGGUGAGUAACACGUGGGUGACCUGCCCUCAGCUCUGGGAUAAGCCUGGGAAACCGGGUCUAAUACUGGAUAUGACUCCAUGACGCAUGUUGUGGGGUGGAAAGCCUUGUGCGGCUGAGGAUGGGCCCGNGGCCUAUCAGCUUGUUGUGGGGUGGGGCCUACCAAGGCGACGACGGGUAGCCGGCCUGAGAGGGCGACCGGCCACACUGGGACUGAGACACGGCCCAGACUCCUACGGGAGGCAGCAGUGGGGAAUCUUGCGCAAUGGGCGAAAGCCUGACGCAGCGACG
rnacentral:rRNA from 1 species